AGAGCGAACGCUGGCGGCGUGCCUAACACAUGCAAGUCGAACGCGCUCCAUUCGGUAGCAAUACCGAUGAAGAGUGAGUGGCGAACGGGUGAGUAGCACGUGAGCAACCUGCCCCGAAGACUGGGACAACACCGGGAAACCGGUGCUAAUACCGGAUAUCCCUAUCGGAUCGCAUGAUCUGAUAAGGAAAUGGAUUCCGCUUCGGGAGGGGCUCGCGGCCUAUCUGCUAGUUGGUGAGGUAAUAGCUCACCAAGGCAUCGACGGGUAGCUGGUCUGAGAGGACGAUCAGCCACACUGGGACUGAGACACGGCCCAGACUCCUACGGGAGGCAGCAGUGGGGAAUCUUGCGCAAUGGGCGAAAGCCUGACGCAGCAACGCCGCGUGGAGGACGAAGGCUUUCUGAGUUGUAAACUCCUUUCAGCAGGGACGAUUGUGACGGUACCUGCAGAAGAAGCACCGGCCAACUACGUGCCAGCAGCCGCGGUGAUACGUAGGGUGCAAGCGUUGUCCGGAUUUAUUGGGCGUAAAGAGCUCGUAGGCGGUUUGAUUAGUCGGGUGUGAAACCUCCAGGCUUAACCUGGAGCCGCCACUCGAUACUGUCAUGACUAGAAUUCGGUAGGGGACCACGGAAUUCCUGGUGUAGCGGUGAAAUGCGCAGAUAUCAGGAGGAACACCAGCAGCGAAGGCGGUGGUCUGGGCCGACAUUGACGCUGAGGAGCGAAAGCGUGGGGAGCGAACAGGAUUAGAUACCCUGGUAGUCCACGCCGUAAACGUUGGGCACUAGGUGUGGGGACUAUUCAACGGUUUCCGUGCCGCAGCUAACGCAUUAAGUGCCCCGCCUGGGGAGUACGGCCGCAAGGCUAAA
rnacentral:rRNA from 1 species